AUGGGGAAACCUUGGUAUUUGAAAAUUUUAAGUUACAAAAGUGAAUCUAGUGAGAUUUAUCACAUCUAAGUCAAAACAAACUAAAAAGUCUAUAAACCUUUUUUUUUUUUUAACUAAACUAAACUUGAUGCCUUAAAAUAUCCUAAACUUAGGUUGGCUUAACAAACCUAGGUGUAGGUUUUACUCACUUAAAAUAUCUUUCUAGUGAACAUCUUUAUUUUUUCUUAAUUCAUGUUAUACAAGAUGUUACAUCUAUUAUGGAAUCUACAUGUGAUUUUUUUAGUGAUUUUUUUCCUUAGGUUGGCAAUAUAUACAAGAUGUUAAACUUAGGUUGGCAAUAUCUACAUUAUCUUUCUAGUGAUUUUUUUUUUUUUUUCUAAUUAAAGGUUACAUCUAUUAUGGAAUCCACGUCUGGGUGUUUUUCCUUUAAAUUUACCAAGAACUAACCCCACUAGUUGCUACCCCUAAAUUGAGGCAAAAUGGCAAUAGGAACCAAAGUUCCAAAAUAAUGUAGACAUUGCACUUUCUUGUUUUCUUUUUAAAUUUUUUUUUUUCAUAAUGUACCUAUCUCUAUAAGUUGAGGAAUAAUAUCAAAAUAGGUCACCACUAAAAAUCUUGUAACUUACUUAAUUAACACUUCCUGGCACUACAAGAAAUCUAGGUUUAGGUGGCAUUAUUUUUAGUGACGUUUUAAAAUCCACGCACUAUAAGUGGUAUACUGUAAUGUUUUUGAAAAACACUGCUAAAGAAUGAGCUUUUAGUGACAGUUUUUUAAAAAACAUCGCUGUAACCCAAAACAAUAGCAGCGUUUCUUAAAAUGCCGCAACAAGUAUAGUUUUAGUAGUGCAUAUUUGGUUUAUAGGGAUGUUUUAAGUAGUGAUUAAAUACAGCAUAUCAGGGAAAAACUCUAUCCUUCGUCUUUUCAACAUUUCACCAAUAGUUUCAUUUCCCACACUUUUUUCCUACGCUUUCUUUUUUCUUUUCCUUUUUUCUCUUUUCUUUUGUUCACUUCGUGUCCCACUUCUUCUUUUCUUUCUUCACUUCGUGUGUUCCACUUUUUCUUUUCUUUGUUUUCUUUCUUCACUUCGUGUGUCCCACUUCUUUUCUUUCUUCACUUCGUGACCCACUUUCUCCAACGCCACCACACCUAUUUUCCCUUCAUGCCGCCACACUUAGCCGCCCCUAGCCACCACUCUCACCACUACCGUAGCAACACCGACCCAACAUCAUCAUCUACUCCCAAGCCACCACCCAUUGCUACCAUCAUAGCCACCGUGGCCGUCGUCAACCUCCACUACCACACACUACCACCGCCAUACUCUUUUCCCUCUUUUUUGUUGUUCAAAUUUCUUUAGAGUGUAAGUCUUUGUUUUUGGCUUAUGGGUUUGCUUUGAUUUGGCUUUUGUUUAAUGGGUCAUGGAGCUUUUAUGCUAAUUUUUGCUCUUUUUUUGUUUUGGUUGGAAAGUUUUUAUUGUUCAAGUUUCUUUAGAGUGUGAGUCUUUGUUUUUGGUUUAUGGGUUUGCUUUGAUUUGGUUUUUCUUUAAUGGAUCAUUGAGUUUUGUGCUAAUUUUUGCUCUUUUUCUAUUUUAGUUGGAAAUUGGUGCAGAAUGCUCUUAUUCAGAUUUGACUUCUUAAGCAAAAGAACCUAAGGAUCAAGGACCAAAUCAUUGUAAGUUUAUGUACAAUUUUGUAAAUCUUGUAUUUUUUUUUAGGGAGCUUAACCCCACCCAUACGUAUAGCCAAGGGUGGGCGAAGGGAGCCUGACCCCACCCAAGGUACCUCAUUUCCCAAUAUUUAAAAAGAAAUUAUAUUCCAAUUUUUAAUUAAUAUUUCAAACUCACAGUUUGUUUGCAUCGAAAGUACUUUUUAACUCCCCUAAUGUACUAUAGUAAAAAAAAAAAAAAAAAAAAAUCUUAAAAUAGUAUAUUAUAUCAAUAUCUCCUAACUAUUGUGCAUAAUUGUAUAUAUUAUUUGCUUCUCAAAAAAAAAAAUUGUAUAUAUUAUUUAAAAUUAAAUCUUUAACAAUGAUCUAUAUUUUUUAAGUUAUUUUGUGAUCAAAUCACCGAUUAUGAUAGUUGGAAAUGUUAUUUAAGAUAGAAAAAACAAAUAUUGAUACUUUUAAGUUAAUUCAAAAUAAAACAUCAUACAUCUUUUAAAAGCAAGGCAUACAUAAGACAUUUUAAAAUUUUGAGUGAUUGUUUUUUAUUUUUAUUUUUUUACUUGUUUGAAAAAAGAGAGAGAGUAAGUUUAAAAAAUAUAUAUGUAUAUAUAUAUACUAACUCUAAUAUUGGUCUUGAAAAAAUAAGUUGAAAUCAAACAUGAAAAAACAAAUUAUAACUUACAAAAUAAUUCUAUAUUAAUCAAAUUUUUUGUUCAAUAAAUCAAGUACUUUUUUAUUAUAUUAAUAAAUAUUUUGGAAGUUAAUUUUUUUAAAGAAAGUUUUAACCUAUGGCGUCCGUUCCUAAUAAUACUUAUUAUCAUCAGACUAAGACACCAAUCAAUUUUUGGUGUAAGCAGGGAUUGAAUCCCAGAUUUCUUAUUUAACCAUCAGAAAUUUUACCAAGUGAGUUAACUAGAACCUACUUUUAGAAGAUAAAUUGUCUUCAAUAUUUUAUCUCUCAAACCAAAAUUUUGGCUCUACCACUAUUAGUUAGUGUUUUUACUUAUUAGUUUAAAUCCCACAGUUAAUGAGUAGCAUUAAAACCAUAUCUUCCUAAUAUGAAGUGCAUUGAAAAAUAAUAAUCAUAUGGUUUUUUUUUUUUUUUUGGUUGAGAAUGCAAUGUUUCAAAUUUAUAACGCAAAUAAUUACUCUUAAUCAUCAAGCUAAGAUACUAAUAAAUUUGUUGUGUAGAUAAAGAUCAAACCCGAAAUCCUUUAUUCAACAACAGGAGAAAUAUAUUAUUAUCAUACAAUUUUUUUAAUAGAUUCUUAAAUAAAAAAAUCUAGGAAUGUUGCUACCACCACCACCCCUUCACCAACAACAAACAACUCUCCCCUCAACACGCCACGUGUCUCACACCUAUUCUGUGACUCACACAAAACAACAACAAAAAAAAUAAAAAAAAAAUUCAUGGAACUCCAACACGCCAGUUCUAGAGAGUUUUGACUCCCUAACCCAAAGGUCAAACAAAAAAACAAUCGCCUCACUCACAUUAACUGCUCCGUCACGAACCAAUAAAAAUCAUCCACGUGUUAUCAUCCACAAAAAUAUCUACCGCACACGAACAUAACCCCUUUCUCUCUCUCUCUCUCUCUCUCUUAGAGAGUAAGUUUAAAAAAAAAAAAUAUAUAUAUAUAUAUAUAUACUAACUCUAAUAUUAGUCUUGAAAAAAUAAGUUGAAAUCAAACAUGAAAAAACAAAUUAUAACUUACAAAAUAAUUCUAUAUUAAUCAAAUUUUUUGUUCAAUAAAUCAAGUACUUUUUUAUUAUAUUAAUAAAUAUUUUGGAAGUUAUUUUUUUUUAAAGAAAGUUUCAACUUAUAGCGUCCGUUCCUAAUUAUACUUAUUAUCAUCAGACUAAGACACCAAUCAAUUUUUGGUGUAGGCAGGGAUUGAAUCCCAAAUUUCUUAUUCAACCAUUAGACAUUUUACCAAGUGAGCUAACUAGAACCUACUUUUAGAAGAUAAAUUGUCUUCAAUAUUUUAUCUCUCAAACCAAAAUUUUGGCUCUACCACUAUUAGUUAGUGUUUUUACUUAUUAGUUUAAAUCCCACAGUUAAUGAGUAGCAUUAAAACCAUAUCUUCCUAAUAUGAAGUGCAUUGAAAAAUAAUAAUCAUAUGGUUUUUUUUUUUUUGUUUGUUGAGAAUGUAAUAUUUCAAAUUUAUAACGUGAAUGAUUGUUCUUCAUCAUCAAACUAAGAUACUAAUAAAUUUGUUGCGUAGACAAAGAUCAAACCCGAAAUACUUUAUUUGACAACAAGAGAAAUAUAUUAUUAUCAUACAAUUUUUUUAAUAGAUUCAUAAAUAAAAAAAUCUAGCAAUGUUGCUACCACCACCACCCCUUCACCAACAACAAACAACUCUCCCCUCAACACGCCACGUGUCUCGCACUUAUUCUGUGACUCACACAAAACAACAACAAAAAAAAUAAAAAAAAAUUCAUGGAACUCCAACACCCCAGUUGUAGAGAGUUUUGACUCCCUAACCCAAAGGUCAAACAAAAAAACAAUCGCCUCACUCACAUUAACUGCUCCGUCACGAACCAAUAAAAAUCAUCCACGUGUUAUCAUCCACAAAAAUAUCUACCGCACACGAACAUAACCCCUUUCUCUCUCUCUCUCUCUCUCUCUCUCUCUCUCAUUGUGGCUAUAAAUAGCGAUCUCGAUCUUCUCUUUCUAAAUUCUUCUCUCUCUGACACACACAGCCCUCCUUUCCUCUUCGCUUUAGGGUUUCUCUCUCUCUCUGAUUUAUUUAUUUCUAUUUUUUAAUUUUAAAUUCAAAAAAUUUAUAUAUAUAUAUAUAUGUAUAUGUAUAUAUUUUUAUUUGAUUUUUGAUGCGAAUGUUUUUUUUUCUUUUCUUAAUUUGCAGGGGGAGCUAAGAAAGAAAAUCUGUGUGUGAACAGGUCAGAGUUCUGUUCCUUUUUAAUGUUUUAUGUUUUUUAAUGUAAUUGGUUUUGUUUGUGUUCUUUGCUGUUUAGGCUGUGUUUGUUUCCUAGGAAUUUUUAUUGUUUUUAUUAUUUUGGGGUUUGCCUAGGUUGAAAUAUCUGGAGAAUUAUGUGGGUUUUUGAAAUAUUUUUGUUGUUGUUGAUAAUUUGAUAGUUGGGGGAGCUGAGAUUCGGGCCUCGACGGCUUCGUUUGAAACACUAGAAGGUGCCAGUUGAGCUAGCUUUUAUGUUUUUGAUGAUGUAUAGAAAGAGCCACAAGGAUUGUUAUUACAUAUAUAUGUUUGUGUAUAUUUUAUAAGGAGCCAUUUGAGCCAGCUUUUUUUCUUUUAUGGGAACUUAUUUGAUGUGUACAAAGAGACACAAGGAUUGUUAUUACAUACCCAGUGUACAAAGCUCCCACUUUUGCAGGGUUUGGGGAAAGAGGAUAGAGAUAAAUUUAUGGGUGUAUUGAUUUCGUUGUAGAAUUCGAUAAAAAUAUGAUCUUGGGUGAGGAUGGAGAUAAAAACAUUAAAAGAAAAAGGUAGAAGCUUUAUGUCUGAAAGCAUGUUGUAAUAGUGAAUAUUGCAAAUAAAGAGCUGACAUCACUAACCUUAACUAGAUGAGUUGUAAUUAAGGUUGUGGUCAAAGAUGGGGGAGAUCUGAGUUGAUGUUAAAGUGAAUAAAGCCGAGAUUAGUGAAAGGUACCAUAGAGUUGAUUUAGAGUAAUAUGUAACUCAAAAAAGAACAAUAAUUGAUGAUUUGUUUAAUUUUUGGGAAGUUGUCAUGUCGAAAGUGGUGGUUUUUAGUAGGUGAUGGCUGAGUAGUCAUUAAUUAGAGCUAGGCUAGUCUUAUAUGGGGAUUGAGAUGGAAGAGGCAUGUUUUCUUAACCAUAAUUAAUGUUAUUUUGCUGAAUUAUUGUUAACUUGCAGUACAAGAAAGUAUUUUAAAGACAAUUAAACAAGUUCUGUAUGAAAGUUGUCAAGGUUCUUUGGUUUUUUUUUUUUAAUCAUUGAAGGUCCUUCUGUCUUCCAGUUUAAUCUGAGGUGUUUUCUUUAGUUGACUUGGCAUUCGUGGAUAUUUUCUUUUGCAUAACUUUGGCCAUGUAUUAGUGAAGGGAGGUGUGGGUGUUAUCUUCUGGAUGUCGUUGGUUUUGUAUCUUCAUGGGUCUUGGCUGGUAGUUUUAGCUAAAGAGAUUUCUUCAGUUGAGCCAGGCAGUGGCUUUUGGGUGUUUUUUUUUUGGUUGAGCUGCUUUACAGGAGUGGCUCUGUGUGUAUUCUGUACAUUUUAUUUUCCAAGUUUUUCCUGUAAAAUCUAAAUCAUGGUCACCUUAAAGGCCCCAAAUAGCUGCUACUAGGCAAAUCCUUAAAAAAAAAAAAAAAAAGGCGUGUAUGCAUCCACUGGGUUUUGAACCUGUGAACUCGCCCUUCACCUAGGUCCCAGACUGUAGAAGAAAUUACCAUUUGAGCUAGAGUUUUUUGGUUACCACUAGAAAAGUCCUGUAAUCUAAGGCUUAAUACUUUCAACCUGUCCAAUCAAAACUUUUCCCUUUUUAUUCCUAUCCCAUCUACAGUUGGAGUCUCUCUUCAGUCCUUCCCCUAUAUCGAUUCUAGGCCCACCUUGUAAUCUUUGAAAUUAUGGGCUAUCCUACGUGAAUUGAGUUGAUGAACAUUCUAACUGUGAUAAGUCUGCCCUGGCCAUAAACACUAAUGGGCCAAUGAACUCCAACUUAAAUGACACAUCCUCCUCUCACAAGAAUGGGUAGAGGGUGAGAUCAUGGAUUUUCAAAACCUACAAACAUCCAUAAAAGCAUGGAAAUUUAGAGGAGGGGAAAAAGGAACAUGGUAGACCACUAUUAAGAAGAUAUACUAGUAGAUCCUAUAUGGGAGAUUCAUUAAUCAUUGAGAAAGGUGUAUAGAGGAGGCCUGCAUUUGCUGAGUUUGAAUUCCUGUUUAGGAGAACUAAAUUCAACAUGAAGAGGAGAAGAAAUGAAGUAAAUGGCAAAAUUUAGCCACUUGUGUCUCUCCUUUGAUAAGGACGCUAGGGCAAUUAGCCCUUCUAAACUUGAGAGAAAGAAAGAAAAGGGGAGGCGCGGGGGUGUGCCGGGGGGAGGAGAACCCUAGAAUGCACCGCUUGCUGCGUUGUAGAAGAGGUGGAGAAAUAAAGCUUCUUAUUUUCUUUUGUGGAUUUGGAUUUUGCUCCUUGUGCGUUCUACUUUUGUUGAAAGGUAUUUCUUUUAUUAGAAUUCUGUGUUUAGGAUUUCAUGUUGGUGAUCUGUUUUUGUAUUUUUGAUUAAAAAAUAAAACUGCUGAAUAUCAUAUUUACUAGUUGCUGCAUUCUUGUUUAUUUAUAAUGAAAUUGCUCUGUCAAACAAUAAGAUGUUUUGUUCUCUUUGUGUUCUUGUUCUAUCCACCUUUUCCUUUUGUUUACAUUGGGGUGGUGGGGAUGGUGAUUGUAGAUUUGAUCUAUCUUCAUUUGUUGUUGAAUCAACAUUUAUCUCUUGUGAUGGAUAGAAUUUUAUUAGGACUUGCUAAUGGAUUGGAAGUUGAUUUUUAAUGUUGGUAUAUUCAUACUAAAAUGCUUGCCUUGUGCUCCUAGGAUUAAUUGUUUUUGUCAUGAAGGUAUCUUGUUUUACUGGUUAAGGAUUCAUAUAAAUUUUGGAUAAUGUCUCUAACCAAUCAUGGAAAGGGGGUAAGUUUGAAAAUAUUCUGUGCAUUGUGCUGCGUCUCACUAAAAUGGAUAUCCUAGGUAACUAAUUUAUACUGUUGCAUAUUCUAAGUUCACAUCUUCAUGUACCAAUGUAUAUUAUUGGGUGACCAAGGAGUCCAUGUCUCUUUCAUUGCAUCUUAGGUCUGGAUAAGAGUUCGCUAGCCAUACAUUUCUUGUGUCGUUAGUCUUUUUUUCUAAAUCUUAUCAUGAUUGUAGUUCCUGUUGGUAGAAAGGGAAAAACUUGUGAUUUGUUGUAUUCUUUACAAUUUGAUUUGACCUACUAUACUCUAGGAAGCACAGAUACGGGUACAGGUACAGUACAACAACAUGAGAAAUUUCCGAAAAAUUAUAACAUAAAACGGCUAAUACGACACCGGUACGACACAGAUAUGAUACCCUAAUUGAAGUGUCCAUGCUUCCUAGAUUAUACUGUGUUUGCAUGUAUCUCCUGUCUGUGCAUAAUCAAAUAUGCCCUGUGUUUGUGUUUGCACAUGGGCACAUUCAUCUUUAUGCUGUGCAUGUUUGUUCUUGGAAAUUGUGAACAUGUCAUGGUUGAAAACUUACAGUACUGAUGCUGCAGGGAACUUUUAAGAAAAUGGAUCACAACGAGACUGGAUGCCAGGCACCUCCUGAAGCACCUAAGCUUUGUGCUAACAACUGUGGCUUCUUCGGAAGUGCAGCAACCAUGAACUUGUGUUCCAAGUGCCACAAGGACUUGGUUUUGAAGCAGGAACAAGCUAAACUUGCAGCAUCUUCUGUUGAGAGUAUUGUGAGUGGCAGCUCUAGCUCCAACACAAAGGAGCCUGCUGUUGUUGCUGCUGCUGCUGUUGCUGCUGUAGAGCUGCCGGCUGGUUCACUGGAGUCCAUGGUCAUAUCAACUGAAGCAUCCUCUACUUCGUCAUUGAAUGUGAAGGGUGAGGAAAAGGUGAAGGAAGGUCCAAAUAGGUGCAACACUUGCAGGAAACGUGUUGGUCUGACAGGGUUCAACUGUAGGUGUGGAAAUCUUUUCUGUGCCGUUCAUCGGUACUCAGAUAAGCAUGAAUGCCCCUAUGAUUAUCGGGCUGCUGGUCAGGAUGCUAUAGCAAAAGCCAACCCUGUUGUCAAAGCCGAAAAGCUAGAUACCAAAAUCUAG
rnacentral:sRNA from 1 species